GUAACAGCCCGGCCCCGUACGACCGGCCCUGUUACCGUUCACACCCAGGGCUAUCCCUCGCCUGGCCUCUUUGCCACCUCGGGCUUUCCGCUGGCGUAUGAACAGGUCUUAACAACCAUUCACCCUCACGGGUUCCUGGCAGGAUUUGUCCCUCGGGGGAGCCAUUACGGCCCGCCCUAGCCCGAGUGGAUUUGGCCCAAUUCCUUCCUCUGGGAAUUAGGUCGCCUCCCCCACUGCUCGAACCCUUGACCUCCCACUUUAAGGGAAUAGUCUGGUGAGAGUGAGUACCAAUUGUGCCAA
rnacentral:lncRNA from 1 species